CCCAAACGAUCGCGAUCUUUGCACGCUGUUCUCGAGUUGCUACAGUAAACCACGCACUCAUCGGAAGAAGACUAACGGCCUACUUCGAUAGCGUAGCUAGGAUUGGUCUACAACUAGCUGGCGACGUUGUACACUAAGUUUCAUCUCGAUACGCCAUCCGUGGGCUGAGCAAUUGACCGAUACUCUGAGCUCAAUACGCAAAACCUCCAUCUUGGUGAAACUCCGUUGAACCCGAAGGAAAACGCAUGAAAAUCUCGUUCAAUGUUAUCGCCAGAAGACAGAUUCGUUGAGAGCAGAAGAAAGCCGUUUGUGGGAGGCGUUCACCACUGAUCGUGAGUCGAUCAUCUUCGGCAAGAAACGUUGUGUAAAUCUGAUUUCGAGAAGCGAAAACAAGAGGAAGCGGAGUGCAGUGGAUAUCAAGACGUUUGAAGUCCGAAAUAAGAGUGAAACAGCUCGGCUCUAGGUAACAUCGAGAUUUUUGAUCACGUGAUUUCACACAGAAAUGCCUAGGUCUGUUGUAACAACUUCCAAUAGAACAGUGAUUUGUCUAGAGGUUAGUUUAUGAGAUGCGUAACUCUGCAGAAAACGGAAGACUCUGAACUCGUUGUGUGAUAUUGUAAUGUUUUGCAAUCUUGUGGUUGUCACGCGGCGUUACGAAGGUGUGGUUGCUAGGUGUGGCUUUGUGGUCGAAAGUAUGCACCACAGCUUUACCUAGAAUGUUCCUUCAACAACAGU